GACGAACCGUGCGAACGUUGUUCGGAAUCACUGGGCUUAAAGGGCGCGUAGGCGGGUCGCCAAGUUUGGGGUGAAAUCCUCCCGCUCAACGGGAGAACGGCCUUGAAUACUGGCGAUCUCGAGGGGGAUAGGGGCAUGCGGAACUACGGGUGGAGCGGUGAAAUGCGUUGAUAUCCGUAGGAACUCCGGUGGCGAAGGCGGCGCGCUGGAUCCCUUCUGACGCUGAGGCGCGAAAGCCAGGGGAGCAAACGGG
rnacentral:rRNA from 1 species